CCACUUCUUGUGUAAUGUUUUCACUUCAAACAAAAACAAGGGGGUUAAACCCUGAGCCACCUUGGACUGGCCUUCUGGGAAAGGUGUGUCUUUUGCAUUAAAUCCUCCCUACUCGAAUUACCCUGCUGCCAUGGCCCCGGAGCUGGAGAGGAAGUGAAAGUAACUUGCAAGCUAAUGUUACAGCUGCCAGAAACAAACACAGAGCAGACGAAGCCAACAAGCUAGCUAACUUGUUUACCAAUAAACUGUCCUUGUAGCAGGGAAAACAGAAGCAAGAAUCAUUCUUGGUUCUUGGAUCUGAAUCAAGUCGACCCCAAAAGAAAAAAAGAAGCAAGCAAAAGACUGCCCAUGACCAAUCCAUAAACCGGAUAAACAUUGGAAUUAAUUUUGAAAGGUGGAAGAGUGAAUCCAAAAUGGUCAUCGUUCUCAUGGACUUGUAGGGAGAUACUGGUGGAGACAGUCUGAUUUCGAGGGAACCUGAGGUAGAAAAAUCAACACCAAAAGAGAGCCCUCCCGGUUCUGACCUGUUCUGCCUGCCCUGACACUGAGCACGCCUUCCUGACCAUUCAGCCUGCCCUGACCUCGAGCCUGCCUGCCCCCUGUACCUUUUGGACUCUGAUUUGGUUAAUGAACUUCUGCCUGUUCUCGACCUGCCCAAUGCCUGCCCCUUGUAUUCUAAUAAAUAUCAGCGACGCUAACUAUCUGCCUCCUGUGUCUGCAUCUGGGUCUCGCCCUGUGUCGUUAUACAGUUUGGUUUCGGUAGAUAAGUUACUGCCAAUGAACGCUAAUGUUAGCAUUUUCGGAAGAAAUACAUUACUUUACUCAGCAAAGUAUGUCUAAAGUUGUGUAACACUUUUACAACAGUCUGACACUUUUGUAAUAAAAUUGUCAAUAUAUUUUCUUAAAUAUCUUCUGUAUUGUGUGCUUAUUGUUUAACCAUUCAUACAGUAUGUUCUAGGGCAGUGGUUCUCAAACGUUUUCGGUUACUGUACCACCAACUGAAUUUUGCUCUGCCUGGAGUACCCCCUCAUGUGCAUUUUACCAGUAAGCCUAUGAUCUCAUGAGUCUUCUAAAGUACCCCCUGGUUGGGAACCACUGUUCUAGGGGACAUUAAGACCUUAACCCCUGUUGGUAUAAGUCCUUAAAUAGCAAUAUCUACUAAACUAACAUAUGGAAUUAUUUUAAGAUGAUCAUAAAAUGUGUCAUUUAGCUAUUUGAUUUACAUUUUUCGGACCCCUGUAG
rnacentral:lncRNA from 1 species